rnacentral:lncRNA from 1 species
GAUUAUUUGGAAAAUGAAAGUAACAACAUUUAUUGUCAGAAUUGUAAUAAAUUAUUGCUAACUAUAUCAAAGGCUGCAUUUGAAGGACUCGGAUUGGUCAAACAGAGCACUGGUCAGCUGUCACAGCUGCCACUGAACACUGACCUGUACUAGUAUGCUCUAUUAAAAAAAUGUAUUCAGUUUUAUUUUUAUGGUUAACUGCCUACCUUGGUCAAGACAAUAAACUACAUAAAAUCGCACCUUUGUAAGAUAUCAGUCAGCAUUUGAACUGCUAUGUGUGUUGUAGUUUUUCAUAUGUAUCAUUACUUUACUCAAGUAAGCUCCAAACCAGUACCUGCAUUUAAAGUUGUAAUCAAACAAAGGAAGCAGCAAACCAGUGUAACUUACCUGGCCUCGGGCUGGUAUAUCACAGUCUCCUCCAUUAUGACGUAAAACAUAUAAACAAAAACUAUCCUAGCAGGGUUGUCUCUCUCCAGCUCUCCUCUCACACCGUUGCUGUGCACAGGGGUGGAGGAAUUAGGAAAUCCUGCAAAGGCGGAGCAUCUCACGCACUUCGGAGGGCUGGUUUACGAAAUGUGCACACUCAAUUUUGGGACACAGCUUAGUUCUCUGUCUAGUGCUUCCACCGAUGACUCUGGACAUGAAUCCUACACUAUUCCUGCUUCUGGUAUUGACAGCUAGCUGGACUGGACCUGUUCAAUGUGAAGACAAUGAAGAGAGAGAGUAUAUCUCUGAAGGCUUGUUAGUUCUCAACGCAGAGGUUGGAGAAGAAAACCCAGAUAAUCAUGGGGACGGCUCUGGAGAUGGCAGGCGCUCGUAUGUAGGUUCCACACCAAGCAGUGACUCAGAGCCGACUACAGAGACAGAGACAGACGCAGAAACAGAGAAAGAGACAUUGGGUUUAAAGAUGUGCAUUAAACCUGAAGAAACUAAAGAAGAUCCUAAACUGGAUCAUGAAGACCACGAAAAAGUGCCAAUGUAAGUACACGCUUUUAAGAGCAUGCUGUGUUUCUAUCUGCUGGCUGCAUUUCAGUAGUUUAGUUUGGUUUGUUUCUUAGUUCCUUUUAGCAAAUAUGUGGCUUACCCAGAUGUGCAAAGUGUGUUGUGAUAACAUUUCAAAACUGUACAGUAAAUACAGAAAAGCGAACACUGGCUUCAUAUCAGUCACAUAAAACUUGAACAGAACGGGGGUCCGCAGCACUGGAUGUGAUAAAACUGUGCUGAUUUGAAAGGGGAAAACACACAUGACUCACUGGGAAGUGUGGCAAGACAAGGCAUGAAGACAUCAUGCGUUCACAUGCGUCACACCCUGUAAUGUAAUGUGUAAGGUUUCUUUUCCUGGAGCUGUCAAAUGACAUAAAGUUACCUGCUUCUUUAUUUCCAGAGGAAAGCCCCUCUGAGUCGAGUCAGGAUCAGAGUUCCCCGAGCAUACUUUAGUGAAACUAUGUUGUGAUCAUUCCUUUAUUGAGAAUUGUUUUUAUGUCAUGCAAUCUGAACUGUAAUAUGAUACAUAUUUAAUAUUUCAUACUGAUGCUUUUUAGAUAACCAGGAAAAAGGAGCAAAAAGACACUACAUUGGAUGUUGGGAUGUGCAAAAACUACAAAAGCAAUGACAUUUUGCUGCCAGUAGAAAUAGUUAUUGCUUAAGUAAUAAUAGUGUCUCAGUCCAUUUUGAGACUGUUUAUGAAACGCAAUCAGUGUGAAUAAUAAUAAUAAUAAUAAUAAUAAUAAUAAUAAUAAUAAUAAUAAUAAUAAUAAUGUACCAGUCAAAGGUUUGAGGUUUGAGUCUCGUCUGCUCCCAAAAGCUGCAUUCAUUUAAUAAAAAAUACAGAACAAAAUGUAAUAUCGUGAAAAAAUAUUCCACUUCCAAACAGCGGUUUUCUGUGUGAAUAUCUAUUAAAGUGUAAUGUAUUUCUGUGAUGUACAGCUGUAUUUACAGCAUCAUUCCUCCAGUCGAAUGAUGAAUUCGUUAUUUUGAAAACUUUGCCAGCAUUUUUAGAUUGUUUCAUAAUGCCAUAACUUUAUAUUAAAAAGAUAUUUGUUUAAUAUUGUAUAAUGCUCUUGGAUGAACAAAGGCAGAUCUGUCUGUUGCACUGAUCAGGAUCCAACAGUUCACUGGAAGCCAAUAUGGUCUUUUAUGUGCUUUUGAUAUUUAAGAUAUUCACCACAGUUAUAUGAUAAUCAAUGUUGUUUCUUUAUAAUUUAAUGAUUGUUCCUGUCUUUAUCUCAGUGUAAGGGCUGCCUCAGAACUUCAGAUGCAUUAAGAAGCAUUUCAUUUAAAUUAUAGAGACAUUAACCUUUGUAAAUAUUAUUACAUUGGCUGUAUUAUAUUUUUUAUUUUAUUUGCAGUAUUGCAAGUUUGUGUUUACAAUUAAUAAUAGAAUUUAAUUCAUUUAAUAAUUUUUAGGAAUUCACCAAUGCAUUUCCUUUUUUGAACAUACCAAACAGAAUUUAAUGUAAAAAAAAAAAGAAAAAAAACAUAAUAAAGAAU